UCGGCAGCGCCCAGCAGAGCCGUCUGGGAGGGGAUUACCAGCCUGAUCCUCUGUCCUCAGAGCCAGAAAUGACUCAAACUUCACAAACAGCAAGGGCCUGCCAGGGAGGGUGACAAUGAGCACUGGAAAGGGUUUCUACCCCUUUCUAGUGUCUUUCCCCCUACUUGCUGCUGUGGCAGAUUCUGGACAGUGAGCAGCCUGUGAGGUAAUCUGAAUUCCUUGGCAACCAGCGAAUACCUGAAUUCUUUCAAAACCACAGGAAUCCAGCAGAGAAAAGGGUCUUGCUACGCUGUGGAUGCUGGCCUCAAACUCACUAUCCUCAUGCCUCAGCCUCUCAAGUCCCUGGGAUUACAGGUGCGUGCCACUGCGCCAGGUGCACAAGGACUAUUCUUAAGUGUAGACUUUCAUUAAGUUGGUUAGAGAACUUACUAUCCUUGCUGGAUCCCAGCAUUUCCUCUGUGAAAUGCAAUGAAUGUUUGCUUGAUUUGGUGAAUGGCACUUCCCAAGCAACUAUGUGCAAAGACUGAGCUAGAUCUCUUUAAUUAAAAAAAAAAAAAAAAAGUUGUUUAUAUAAUAGUGAUGUUGAACACUGUGUGAGGCAUUGAGGUUACAGUGAUGAAGAAAAUAGAUACAAUCUUGCCCUCACAGAACUUAAGACUCAGUACCUCUACCCCCAGAGUUUAAAUACUAUAUUACAAUUAUAUUGCAGAGAGGUAGUGAUAUAUUUAAGUUAAAAGAACAAAAAGCAAUAAUUCUGUAAACACAAGAUAUUGGGUUGUAAAGUGGACCAAUCUGGCAGGACCACUCAGGGAAGGCUUGCCCUGGAAGAAUAGGUACAACAAGUAAGAAUAGGUGCAAGAAGUAAGUGAGUGGGCACAAGGUAGGGAGGAAAGGACGCCAUCAAGGGAAGAUGGCAUGUACAAGGGCCAGCAGACAGGAGGGUAGGCAGAUUCAUGGGCCUGGAGCUUAGAAGACUAAACUGAGAAAUAAAGGAAGGGAUGGUUAGACAACUAGGAGGGAGGGAUCCCAGAGGCAAAAGCAAGUAAGUUUGAACUCCUAGUAAGAGUCAUUUAGAUUGAACAUGGUAGAAAGCAGGAACACUGGAAUCAAAGAGCAAGAUCAAAAUAUGUGAAAUAGAACAAUUUCAUGUGUAAUUAGAUUAAGACAGAGAAGUCGGUUGCAAGUCAAUCCAUGCAGGACAAAAGAGCUCCAAAGGGAAGUGGCAAUGAUAAUAAUUACCAUGAUAACAACUACAGUAGUAGCUAACAUUUGCAGAAACAAUUAAAAUUAGGUAAAAGUAGUAAGUAUUUACUAUGUGCCAACCUGUUCUAAAUGUAUCACACAUAUUAUUUCAUUCAAUCCUCACACAACCCCAUAUUUUACAGAUAAGGAAAGGAUCAGAGAAGUUAGGGACCUGGCCCAAGUCACACAGCUAAUAAGCAAUAGAGCAGCAUUGGAACCCAGACAGUCUGCUUCAGAGGUAGACUUUUAAGCACUACUCAAUAGUCUGAGCCAAAAUAAUUAUCCCCAAAUUCAAAAAUUUUUCUAUGUCACAAAGUGUUUCCGAUCCCAAAUACUACUGUUGUUCAUGAAAUAAGGAUAAUUUUAUAACCCACGACAUUAUUCACAACCACAGUGAGCAACCCUGGAGUUAGGAUGAUGAGUUUUCCUGCUGCUGCUGCCUCAAAGUCAGAAGGCAGCUUUCACAUCCCAUUUCUGUAUAUCAUAUGAACACAAUGACAUCAGUACUGAUUCACCCCUAGUGCACUCAACCACCCAACCAUUUCCUGAUUUCCUUAUAUUUCUUGAUCAGUUUCUCACAAGCACUAUCUCCAUUCUGAGUCAUCUUACAAAAUAAGAAGUGAUGCAAUCAUUACACAAAGCGGUAAUCUAAAGGCUGGGUUCCAAACCUAGAGUUAAUCAAUCUCAGCCGCCUUCCCCAGAGUAACACCUACAGGCCAUAACAGACAUAUGACCUACUCACCUGUCCUCUGGACCAGAGAACACACUCCUAGGGUCUUCGUUUCCCAUCAUAUCUACUUCCUCUCCUCCCAUCCUAAUUGUUCACAUUGAUCCAUUUAUCCAUUCAGUUGAGCUUAGCAUAAACCCUUCAGUUAACUAGGUAACUUUAAUAUUUGUUCUAAUGUCUUUACCUCUUCUUUCUAUCUGUAUGAGGAAUUAAAUUUUAAGUUCUCAGAAUAAAAGGAUAGUUGGGACUGGUUUCUUUGGUAGUGUACAUCGCAGAGGAACUAAUGAAAUACCCUCAAAUCUACUUCCUUUUUAUCAAACCCCAAUUAACUCAUAUCAAAUUAUUUCAAUUUUCAGCUAAAAAUGUCCUUCCAAAAUAGGCUAAAGCAGGAAUCUGAAUUGUUGGGGAAGUUGGAAACAGUCUUUUUUCCUCACUGGACCUUAAGAUCAAAGUUCUCAGCAUCUAUUAAGUUACUGCAGAGUAGUACAGGACAGGGAUUAAGACUGAAUAUACACUCUGGAACUAGCUAGACUUGAGUUACCAACUUGACUCAACCACUUACUAAGUAAUAACCACCCCUCAUGGGGUUCUUCAUGAAGACUAGAUGAGAUUAUAUUUGGAAGGCACAAUGACAGGCACAUGUUAAAUAUACAAUCAUUACUGCAAACUCAACGGUAUCUGUGUGUUCUAACUACUAAAUCCUACAGUCUACAGCACACUCAUGUGCCAUUCUACUCAAAGCAGUACACUGACUUAUUAUAAAGAUAUUCAAGAAUUAGAAUUUCUCAGAAUGCUUUAAGGAGCGACAGCACCUGGCGGGCAGCAGGCACUCUCUAAAUACUUGUUAAAUAAUGAGAAAAAGAGGAAAUAAGAUUAAAAAAAAAUACAAACUAAUAGAAAUAAGAGAGUACCGAUUUAUAUUCACACCUAUAGGAGUGAAGAGGGUGACCUCACCCUCUUCCAACCCUUCAGGAUCUCAGGGAUUAUAUUAAUACUACAUUUACCAUGGAUAAUGUGCCAGACAAGGAUGAUGGAAUUGGAUGUCCAUAAUCAAAUUCAUACCUUCAUCAGAAAACACCAGGUCUUUCCCCUCCUUGAGUGGAAUGUACUAAAUUGGGAAAACAUGGCAUUUAGUCAUGGUUACUGAGGGAGCUGAAGCAGACGUUUUGCUCCUUAUGCUGCACUUGGGAGUUAAAGGGCAUAUCCUUAAUAGGCCAUGCCAGCCAACCAGUCAAGACGUGUCCAUCACAGGAGUCCACACUUGUCUCCUCGGUAUUACAUGAAAGUCCUGCUUUUCCUGUCCUUUAUCCUAUUCUACUUAUGCUCCUAGUUGCUACUUGCAGAUAUUUUCCAAAAGGUUCUGACUACUACAGGAAAGCUGAAAUAAGAGGCUCUUUCCCACCCGGGGGACGACAGGGCACGAUGUUUCCAUCUGGCUCUCAGGCCUAAAUCUGUGCCUCCCCCCACAGUCCCUCGCCCACUCAGGAGUUGUGCACACAGACCCUUGUCUCAGCACACUCCCUCCCCUCAAAUCUGAAAGGAAAGCAGGCAGCUUUCCUUGGAAAGAGUUACUUCAUCCAGUUGGCUAAUGGGUCACAUAUUCCAUGGGAAAGGAUCCAGGUAUGGAAAAGAGGGGAUGGGUAGGCCUUCUUGUAAGGGGAGAGAGAGGAGCAUUAACUACAUAGUUUGUAGGUCUGGGUAAAAGGUGAUCAAGUUCCAGUUUGGGGGUGAAAUGGGAAUCUGUUCCCAUUAGGUGUACUCGCUGCCAGCUCCCCUCCCAGCUCCCCUCUGGCCUGCUGGCAUCCCCCCAGGCUUCUGUCUGGCACCUCCACUAAAUACCUAAAAGAAUCAGAUUCAUUCCAAAGCUUCACAGAGGAGGAGGGGUAAGUAGAAGGGUCCUGCCAAGUGCUUUGAUCUGUGCAGGGGGUCUCAAGGGAUUCAGUCUGGUGAGGGGUGGUAGGGGGAAAGACUCAGAGCCUGCCAAGCCUGCAUUCUCUAAAGACAUGUCAUUCCCUUUAUGAGCCUCAGUGAAGAGUAAGGACACGGGGCUCUUGGUCCCACCAAGGCAAGUUUAACUGUUCUAUUCUUUAUGAUGUUAGCUUUAAAAGAACAAAUCACUAGGGCAGAAGAGCAUUCCAAAAGAAAAAAGUCCCAGAGGAGCUGGGAAUAGAUCCUAUUCUUUUUGACUCAUGUCUAAGAAAAUAAAAAGCAAACUUGUACCAUAGUUGACUUUCAAUAGCAAUUCCAUUUGGCAGCAAAAACCCAAACCCAAACUAGCACCGUCUGAGAUUCAAACAACACUGGAGCUCCUGGCGCAGAGCUAAAGGAGAGGCUGUGGGACAGGAGCCUUCACGCCAAGGUCAGAAAGACAAAAAAAGAAAGCCAAGGCAUAUGACCAGGUUUUAGGUCACAUAAGCGCCAGGCUAAAAUGUCUCCAGAGUGAGCCAGGUCAGGUAACAGGACUUAUAGCUGGGGCCUGGCACUGAGUAGGUGCUCUGUCAAAACCAGAUUAUGUAUUUAUUUAGCAUGAAAGGUCUUGCCACCAUUGUUUACUGUAUAGUUUUGAGUCCAGACUGAAUCUGAGGAUUUUCUAGAGUGAAAGACCCCUCUGAAAGUUUGUUUCUGCACACAUAGGAAAUGUGAAAAGUAACUGGGGAAUUUAAGAUGGAGUACUGGCCACACACACAAUGUGUCUACCCCACCAACCCUCCCUUCCACUAGAAGGACAGAAGGAUAUUUUUAAAAGAAUGAAUUGAUAACAAGACUAGAAAAAAGCUAAAGGAGCCAGAACAGACCAAAGUUUAAGGAAAUCCUGAAAGAUAGAAAGCAGAUGGAAUCAGGUUGAAAAAACAGCGGAAGAAGCCUGAGCCCAAAAUACCAGAGGGGAGAGAUUGUCCCAAGGAGGCCCCUGCAAAGCUCCAAGCUGGCAGCCAACAAACAUGAAGAACGGGUGGCCAAGGAACAAGAAUCACAUAAUUAAUUCACAAACAGCACUGGCGGCCUUUUCCUAUACCAAAAACAGCAGCUUUUGUCCAGAGGAUGAAACCUACAGAUGGUGCUUUCAGGAGAACAUCUUUUGUGGGUGCAGGGGGUUCAUGGAGGAGAGGAGAACUUGAGGCUAUCCUAUCCCCACAGAAGCAAAAGGUAUGCAAAGCAAGCAAGGCAGCUCUAGGGGAGAGGGAACUCACCAAGAUCUCUCCACAGCCCCUCAAGACUGCCCUGUUUUGGUGCAGGGAGAGGCACACCUUCGCCCACCCCUCAACUACAUGCUUCUGAAAGGGAGCCUCACAGUCACCUUGCUUUGCCCUCAUACAGAAAGCAGGCAGCUCUCGCCCAGGGAGAGGCAGCUAGGGAAAGAGUCCUGCAGGCCCAACACCUAAGGAUCAUUCAAAUUAAGAAAAUUUAACAGCAAGAAGAAAAACAAACCUAAAGAAAAUUCAAGAACAAUCCUCAGAAAGACAGAUGGUCAAACUGCAUCCAUUCAACAAAGGCAGGCUGUUGGUUACAAAGAAAAAAAUCAGCAUUUCUGAAAAUUAACAUGAUAG